GAAAUGCGAAACGUAGUGUGAAAUGCAUAGACCUGUGAAUCAUUGAAUCUUUGAACGCACCUUGCGCUCUGCGGCUUGCUGUGGAGCAUGCCUGUGUGAGAAUUGGAAAACUCUAACAUUGGUUGAUUUGGGGUGCUGUUCAGAUGGACACGCUCUUAAAGAAAUGGCACAGCAGGGGGCGUGCAAGGCGGGUUAAGCAUGGGCUGGGGUCCAUCAAACGUCAAGCUGUCCGUGUGCUGUGCGCAAUGCUGUGUUGGUAUGCGUGUAUGUAUAGUUUAACUGUACUCAACACACCAACCAACACACACACAUAUCACCUCUCUCACACAGGCAAGAGUACCCGCUGAACUUAA
rnacentral:misc_RNA from 1 species